rnacentral:rRNA from 1 species
UACGUAGGGGGCGAGCGUUGUCCGGAUUUAUUGGGCGUAAAGGGCGCGUAGGCGGAAUGGCAAGUCGGUCGUGAAAUCCUUCGGCUCAACCGAAGAACGUCGAUCGAAACUGCCGUUCUUGAGGAUUGCAGAGGAGACUGGAAUUCCCGGUGUAGCGGUGAAAUGUGUAGAGAUCGGGAGGAACACCGGUGGCGAAGGCGGCUCUCUGGGCAAUUCCUGACGCUGAGGCGCGAAAGCGUGGGGAGCAAACGGG